rnacentral:rRNA from 1 species
GGGAAUCUACCUAGUUCUACGGAACAACAGAGGGAAACUUCUGCUAAUACCGUAUACGCCCUAUGGGGGAAAGAUUUAUCGGAAUUAGAUGAGCCCGCGUAAGAUUAGCUAGUUGGUGAGGUAAUGGCUCACCAAGGCGACGAUCUUUAGCUGGUCUGAGAGGAUGAUCAGCCACACUGGGACUGAGACACGGCCCAGACUCCUACGGGAGGCAGCAGUGGGGAAUAUUGGACAAUGGGCGCAAGCCUGAUCCAGCCAUGCCGCGUGAGUGAUGAAGGCCUUAGGGUUGUAAAGCUCUUUCAGUGGGGAAGAUAAUGACGGUACCCACAGAAGAAGCCCCGGCUAACUUCGUGCCAGCAGCCGCGGUAAUACGAAGGGGGCUAGCGUUGUUCGGAUUUACUGGGCGUAAAGCGCACGUAGGCGGUUUGUUAAGUCAGGGGUGAAAUCCCAGAGCUCAACUCUGGAACUGCCUUUGAUACUGGCAAGCUAGAGUCCGGAAGAGGUAAGUGGAACUCCUAGU